UACGAAGGGGGCUAGCGUUGCUCGGAAUCACUGGGCGUAAAGCGCACGUAGGCGGCUUUCUAAGUCAGGGGUGAAAUCCUGGAGCUCAACUCCAGAACUGCCUUUGAUACUGGAGAGCCCGAGUCCGGAAGAGGUGAGUGGAACUCCGAGUGUAGAGGUGAAAUUCGUAGAUAUUCGGAAGAACACCAGUGGCGAAGGCGGCUCACUGGUCCGGUACUGACGCUGAGGUGCGAAAGCGUGGGGAGCAAACAGGG
rnacentral:rRNA from 1 species